CAUUGUCUUCACGGGGUAUAAUGCGAUAUUGAAAGCGUUAUCAUCGUGAGAGGCUAAGA
rnacentral:pre_miRNA from 1 species